rnacentral:rRNA from 1 species
GAUGAACGCUGGCGGCGUGCCUAAUACAUGCAAGUCGAACGCUUCACUUCGGUGAAGAGUGGCGAACGGGUGAGUAAUACAUAAGUAACCUGGCAUCUACAGGGGGAUAACUGAUGGAAACGUCAGCUAAGACCGCAUAGGUGUAGAGAUCGCAUGAACUCUAUAUGAAAAGUGCUACGGGACUGGUAGAUGAUGGACUUAUGGCGCAUUAGCUGGUUGGUAGGGUAACGGCCUACCAAGGCGACGAUGCGUAGCCGACCUGAGAGGGUGACCGGCCACACUGGGACUGAGACACGGCCCAGACUCCUACGGGAGGCAGCAGUAGGGAAUUUUCGGCAAUGGGGGAAACCCUGACCGAGCAACGCCGCGUGAAGGAAGAAGUAAUUCGUUAUGUAAACUUCUGUCAUAGAGGAAGAACGGUGGAUAUAGGGAAUGAUAUCCAA